rnacentral:lncRNA from 7 species
GUAUGGCAACGUUCAUCACCUCAGUCUCAUGUGCUCUGUUUACCUCCAGUUGCGUGUACCUAAUCUCCUGUGUCCUGCCCCCUCCACCCCUACCCAGGCAGACUGAAGUCUUUAAGGGCUCAGCUUUGCAGGUCGCUACUACAAGGUUUCCAGCUCCAGACAAAAUCAUCUCUGGAGUUCCUGAGAGAUAGCAAUGCCGUUUCUGUGGAAUGGCUAUUUCAUCAGUGGAGGUGAAAUACACACAGUAAGGAAUAAGCACAAAAGAAGAGAGACGGGUCCCACUGAUGUCAUUGGAGUACUUUGUUGAUACUGGUGGAACAAAAUCAGAACUUGUCUCUGAAGAACCUACAACCUAAGGCAAGGCUGCUAUUCUUGGUCACCUUAUCACACAAACAGUGAGAUUAGAUGUUUCUGGGGCUCUUUUGCUUUUGCAUAGGACAACUCUGCCUAUUUGUGGGAUCCGCAGUCCCAGUAAUCUCUCCAUUCAGAAAUUAUAUACAGGGAGUAGUUGUAACAUUGAAACCUAAGUGAGAUAUUCAGGAUACUCUGAAAUGAAUAUCCAGGAGCUGUUGAACUUGCACGAAUCUCCUCCUCCUCAUUUUAGCCAGACAGCAUUUUUUUCCAGUGCUUUGGAGCAUGAGUCUGCCAUUGCCUUUAGCCACUGGCUUAUCAGGAAGGCAAAUCCCAUCUCAUUGGUGACUGUGAAGAGGCCUGUUUACAGAAGGUUUCCUGCAGAAUCCUUUUUCUAGGAACAUCAACCCAGGGAU